ACUAACUUGCCUUGUGUAUAUAUAUUCACAUGCACCUGCUUCAAAUUCAUUUCAUCUCCUAAUCCUAAGCCUUGAAGGCUAGAAAAAUCCUAGUUUCAUCUCCAAAAAUGGGUUAUGAUCAUACUCAUCACUUCUCCACAGCAACCAUUGUUUUUCUCAUUAGCAUCCUCUUCGUUGUAUCGAGCAAUCUCGACCUCGCCCUCGCCGCAAGACCCCUACCGGAAGAAGGGUGGUCGAAGAACAUUAGCAACGGCCAAAUAGAGUCGCUCCGAAGGGGGCCGGUGCCGCCGUCGAGUAGCUCUUCCUGCACAAACAUCCCCGGGCAGAACCGGGGCAAGUGCACGUUGAGCGGCAUGAACGUCGCCGGACGUGCCUUUGCUCGUGGACCAAGAAGCACUUUCCCGGCGGCUGUGAUGGCAAAAAUAUAGGACGAUGGAUGGUAAAGCUAUGGGACAAGAUUGGAGCUAUUUGAUUUAGGGUUCUGGGACCAUGCAAAGGAUGUAGAUAGCUAAUUAAACUAGGAAAUGAAAGAAAAAUUAAGUUUUAGUUUCAACCUUUAGGUUUUCUUCAGCUUUUGACUUUGUCACUCUCUAAAGCGAAUUGAUUAUUUGUUCAUUGCUCGUUUAGAUUCUCAUUAUCAAGUAAUUCAGUUUCCUUUGAUCAUAUUGUCUUGUAAGUUGAUUAAAGAUCUCUAUUCACGAAAUGGUACGGUGGAAAAUUAAUUUUAAAAAGAAGGCAAAAGAACUUUCGAACCCUUAAAUUGCU
rnacentral:lncRNA from 1 species